rnacentral:rRNA from 1 species
UACGUAGGGUGCAAGCGUUAAUCGGAAUUACUGGGCGUAAAGCGUGCGCAGGCGGUUUUGUAAGUCUGACGUGAAAUCCCCGGGCUCAACCUGGGAAUUGCGUUGGAGACUGCAAGGCUAGAAUCUGGCAGAGGGGGGUAGAAUUCCACGUGUAGCAGUGAAAUGCGUAGAGAUGUGGAGGAACACCGAUGGCGAAGGCAGCCCCCUGGGUCAAGAUUGACGCUCAUGCACGAAAGCGUGGGGAGUAAACAGG